CAAAGACUAAGUUCUUCACACUGAUUUCUGGAAGUAACCUUUGGGCUUUGUAAGUGAUGAAAACUAGAGACUGUUCCAGCAGAGGCCUCACAAAUGUUGAAAAGAAUGCUUCCACUCAGCAUUGGCUACCCCUACAGCCAUUAUGCUCCAGUGUUUGGUCCAGGGAUUUGCUUUGACCAUUUCCUGAUAGGAAUGAAGAAUGAAAGCAAGAACUACAACACAAGUUCUUCCCAUCAAUUCCAAGCAAUGUACCUGCAGUGUAUAUUGGGUUUCCAUAUCAGAACGCAUAUUGUUAAUGUGGGUGCCACCUUUGUUGUCCCAGACAUCAACCUGACUUUCUUCAAUUUUCUUCAUCCUGGGCUGAAGAAACCAUGUCUGAUUGUACCCAGUCCUGCAGGAUCUUCUUUGCUUUUCGAAGAACAAUGGAUUGUUUUUGUGGUGAAAAAAAAAAUACAACAAAUUUUCCAAAACACAGAAACUGUGUGUUUGCUGGUUGAUAAUCAUCCCGACAAGUUGACAAUUCAGGGUUUAUGAAUAAGCCAUGGGUGACAGACAUUCAAGGGGAUGUAAAUGUGCUAAUUUUGAGGUGAUUCAUAACAACGGUCUUUUCUACAAGACAGAUAUUUCUUGUCAUCUGUGGCUUAAUGGUAGAAAGUACUUCCUUCUGUUCCUAUGUAAUCAUCAAGAGGCAAAACUGAAACUUGUUCUUAUUGCUUCACAAUAUUUUGACAGAGCAGCAGACUCAAAAUGCUUUAUGUUUUAACAACUUAUAGCGACACAGAAUGAAAUUACAUAAUGACAUUCAUAGAGACUGCGCUGUGCCAUCUCAGUUUUUGUGUUUCCUAUAACAUCCACAUUCCUUAUGGUGUGAGAGUAAAAGAGCAUUUAAGUUGAAGCCCAAAUGUUUUCCUUCAGUGAGAAAUUCAUUUCCCACUUUCAAUGAAGUCACUGAAUGAAUGGCUUUGAAAAGCACUUCUAGUAGCCGCUUGGCUCACAUCCCUGACUUCAGAACACUAACUGCAGCCUAUCCUAUUAAUUUCUGGGAGCAAGUAGCAACCAGCACAUUAGGGAGAGAGAGGAAUGAAUGAAGCUGCAGCAUAUUUCCAAGCUGAAGUUACUUUCUAGUACAGAUUAUCUUGUCUCAGGGCUUUUGAAAAGGUUUUGAAUGGACAUCAAAACAAAACUGAAACAUUUUUGGAAGGAAUAAUGUUUUGGGCAAUUUUUAAUGAGUUAUUGGAAUGAAAGUGUAAUGUUACUUUUUUUUUUUUUCCCUAAAACUGUCUAGUGUCUGCAUUGGUGUAAGAGUGACUAAAUUUUUGUGUGGGGGAGGGGAAAGGAAAAGGUUCUAUUUCAGUUUAAAUGUUCUUGACCUUCAUUGGCUCGACCCAAGCAAUCUGUGAAUGAAAAGUUUACAUGGAAAUCUGAUUGCAGUAUUAAGUUUCAGGAAAAAAAAAAUAGUUAAUUAUUUUAUGUUUUCUUAUUUAUAAGUUACUGUGAGUAAUUGUGUUACAAAGAAAACAGGAUUCAUCACUCAUUAAAUGAGAUUACCUUACCUAGAAAUUGUUUUCAUUCUUGACAGUGCUUUUAGAAACCAUUACCAAUUUUGUAAUAAGCUCCUUUAUUCCCAUUCAAAAGGUGCAUCAUGAAGAUUCUCUAAGAAGCUCUGUCUAGAGACAUCUAUAAAAAUGAGAUUGAAAAGAUUGAUAAAACCUUUUUUAAUCAUACUUGCUGUACCCUGAUUUCUGUCAAGAUCUUCAGAACUUAGCAACAAUUUCUCAAACAAACACCAGCUAUGUUGGACUUACAGAAUGUGCACCAUUAAUUGAUUUGCCCACGUGCAAAGUGACUCCACACAGCCUCUGCAGCAAAAUUGAAGUUGCUGCCAUGCAGUUGCUUUCAGCAUAGUCAAAGAAGGAGCUAACAGAUUGUUCAUCUGUUCUUUUUACUGGAGUGGUUUGCACUCAAGCAGCAAUACUAGAAGAUUAUUUAUCCUCUCCCCACCAUAAAGAAAAAAGAAAAAAAAACCAUCUCAGACAAAUAAGCUUCCAAGAACUUCCUCAUCAGAUGUAAAAUCUCAGCAAGUUUGGAGUUUGUUUUUGUCCGUAUCACUUAUAAAGUAAAAGGUGGGAAGAAAAGGAAGGAAGGAUAAAUUCUCUGAAGAUGUGCAGUUUAGUUCUGGGGGAUUUGGGUUUUAUUAGCACUGUUUGUUGUUUCUCUGAUACACCACAAUAAGAUGAAAAAAAAUUCUAAAUUUCUUAUAAUUUUUUUUAAAUGUGUAAAUAAAAUGAUUACUUUUUUCUUGCUACUGAGACAUUUUACUUUGUUCGUGUUCUGUAUAUAAACAUGAAGAAACAAAACCAUAAACUGAAAGUUAUUUUGAAAGUUACAGCAUUUCAUUCUAACAAAAAGGAACAAUUCUAAUUAAUCUAAGCCUAACCUAAAUGAUCUUCUAACUGGAAUUUCAUUGAAUGCUGAUGAUCUCAAUUAAAAUAGCAUCUCAUUAUCUGGUAGAUGCCAAUAGCUCUGAGCUACGAUUAGGGAUUUUUAGCAGUUGCUUAAUACUGCCCUACUAUUAAACAUCUUCAGAAUGCAAAA